rnacentral:lncRNA from 1 species
CGCAGUGCGUUUAGGAAGUUGUACGCAUACCCAACUGAAGCUUUCUUCCCUUCUCCAGUGGAGUGCACCUGCACAGAAACUCUCUCUGUACCACGUACCUGCUGCCAGAAGCUGGGAAGGAGUGGUGCUGGUGAUUCAAAACUGAUUUUCCUGCCUCUUCGAUGCCUCUUUUAGUGACAUACAGUUAAGACCAGGCACUCAAUGUGUGAAAGAGCCUCUUUCCCUACUGCUUCACCAAGUUUAAAACUUCAAAUUUUUUCAACUUGAUAGGGUAUAACCAGGAGUUGCGAAGUGGUCGUAGUUGUUCAUGUCUCAAUCUGGAUCAUCUUUGCUUUUUGCUUCUGCUUUGUGCUAUCCCUCUUCCCGUACCUCAGUUCUAUCUGGAACCAUGAUCUGUGACUGCCAUGGAAAAGUGUUGGGCAGGAGGAGGCCAGCUGGGUCUUUGAAGUUGACAAUGGAGCCAGGAAUGAAAGCUGCACUUAGGAUGAGAAUUGCUUUCCCUGGAGCCAAGUCAGCAAAUGCAGUCUGGUUGUCAGAGCUGAGAGGCUUCACCAAGUCAAGUAGGGGAGGACAUCUUCACUCUGCAACUUGCCCUACUGAAUGCAGAAAGUACUGUCUACUUAGAUAAAGCCUACACUAAAAGGGAAUUGAAUCUCUGCAAAUAAGUAUGUGGAUCUAAUUUCUACCUUCCAGAUUAAAAGUAUAAUUAAAAAUGAAAACCUUUGUAGGACUAAAUUGAUUUUGCAGACAAAUCUCACUUCUUAGCUUGAGCUGACUUAUUCCCAAUCUUAAACCCUAAUUAAUAACAUACAAGAAUGAGU